rnacentral:rRNA from 1 species
UACGAAGGGGGCUAGCGUUGCUCGGAAUUACUGGGCGUAAAGGGCGCGUAGGCGGUUCUAUAAGUCAGGCGUGAAAUUCCUGGGCUUAACCUGGGGGCUGCGCUUGAGACUGUGGGACUUGAGGUCAGAAGAGGGUCGUGGAAUUCCCAGUGUAGAGGUGAAAUGCGUAGAUAUGUGGAGGAACACCGGUGGCGAAGGCGGGUCUCUGGGCCGGAUACUGACGCUGAGGAGCGAAAGCGUGGGGAGCGAACAGG